UACGGGGGGGGCAAGCGUUGUUCGGAAUUACUGGGCGUAAAGGGCUCGUAGGCGGCCAACUAAGUCGGAUGUGAAAUCCCCAGGCUUAACCUGGGAACUGCAUCCGAUACUGGAUGGCUUGAAUCCGGGAGAGGGAUGCGGAAUUCCACGUGUAGCGGUGAAAUGCGUAGAUAUCUGGAGGAACACCGGUGGCGAGGGCGGCAUCCUGGACCGAGAUUGACGCUGAGGCGCGAAAGCUAGGGGAGCAAACGGG
rnacentral:rRNA from 1 species